rnacentral:lncRNA from 1 species
AGUCUUGGUCUCGAACAUAAUAAUAUAAGUUCCACUUUGUUAUGAACUAUCUCAAACAGAAUGCUCAAUAUAAGUUCCACUUUGUUAUGAACUAUCUCAAACAGAAUGCUCAAUAUAUUUGUGUCAUUUUCCAAAAAAUCAUAACAGGAAAGAUCACUCUGUUCAGAAUCGACACAAACAUUCCAUGUUUCUAAAGUCAUAUCAUGGACUUUAGUGCUUUUAGAAAAUACGAAUUUAUCAAAAUUC